CGAGGAAUUCCUAGUAAGCGCGAGUCAUCAGCUCGCGUUGACUACGUCCCUACCCUUUGUACACACCGCCCGUCACUCCUACCGAUUGAAUGGUCCGGUGAAGUGUUCGGAUCUCGGCGACGUGGGCGGUUCGCUGCCCGCGACAUCGCGAGAAGUCCACUGAACCUUAUCAUUUAGAGGAAGGAGGAGUCGUAACAAGGUUUCCGUAGGUGAACCUGUGAAAGGAUCAUUG
rnacentral:ncRNA from 1 species